rnacentral:rRNA from 1 species
CCUACGGGAGGCUGCAGUGGGGAAUAUUGGACAAUGGGCGAAAGCCUGAUCCAGCCAUGCCGCGUGUGUGAAGAAGGCCUUCGGGUUGUAAAGCACUUUCAGUGGGGAAGAAAGCCUUGGGGCUAAUACCCUCGAGGAAGGACAUCACCCACAGAAGAAGCACCGGCUAACUCCGUGCCAGCAGCCGCGGUAAUACGGAGGGUGCGGGCGUUAAUCGGAAUUACUGGGCGUAAAGCGCGCGUAGGCGGUCUGAUAAGCCGGUUGUGAAAGCCCCGGGCUCAACCUGGGAACGGCAUCCGGAACUGUCAGGCUAGAGUGCAGGAGAGGAAGGGAGAAUUCCCGGUGUAGCGGUGAAAUGCGUAGAGAUCGGGAGGAAUACCAGUGGCGAAGGCGGCCUUCUGGACUGACACUGACGCUGAGGUGCGAAAGCGUGGGUAGCAAACAGGAUUAGAUACCCCUGUAGUC